UGCCAGUGACGGGAAAAGGAAAGCGGAGAAGAAAGGAAGAGAGGAAGAGAUGGAGAAGAAGAGGAUUCGAGGAGAGGAAAGAGGGGUCUCCGGACGUUGUUGCUCGUCGGUUGAAACUGUUGUUUGCCAUGGCCUCACUUGGCUUCUGCUACUUGUCACAGCAGCUUCCUCGUCGGAAAGAGGGAAGAGCAAGACGAGAAGGAGAAGAGGAG
rnacentral:misc_RNA from 1 species